GGGGAUUCCUGUCUGUCUGAGGCCUUUCAAAGAUUACUCAAUAAAGGGGAUUGUCACUGCUGCUAACAUGAUAGUUGUGCUCCAGCUACCUGUGACUACAUUAGUGUCAACAGCAGUCUGAUUGUGUCAUCCUGGGAUGGCUGUGAGUGACACAUAAUAACUUUCCUCUGGCUAUGAGCUCUGUGAGCUGCUAUGUCUGAUAACUGCUGGAUAUGGUACACAUUACAGACUUAGUCUGAGAGGUCACAAGACUGAAAGUCAGAGCAGUUAUUCCAUCUUGUAACAUAAUAAUGAGUCUCCUGUGUUUCAAGUCUAGUCUUUGAUUUCUACAAUACCUCUCCAAAUCAGGAAAUGUGACAUAAAUUCUUACUUAACUAAGUUCUCCUGACUGGCAAUUAUGCCUGGUAAGCCUCUUGAGUAUGCAGUGUAGGAAAAUAAAUGUAUCUGUGUUUCUACUGUAAUAAUCCUCAGUGGUUUCAUCAACUUCAUGGCUCAGUCCUCAGCAUUAAUGCUUGGAAAUCACCAGACACGUUGUGGCUUAGAGAGAACCUGUAAGUCAACUAUAUACAGAGUUCCAAAUAUUUUCAUGAGAUCUGUACAGAGGGAAAUUCUAGACACAAGAUUCUGUGUGAGCUUAAAAGGCAGCUAAAAGCAAGGGAGUCUGGUGUACUAUGCAGCUAGUGUGCCAUAUCCUUGCUGUGGAGGUGUAGCUAUGCCAUGACCCAAACAGGCUGAGCUUAAGCUCAUGAAAGCUUUUCAGUUUUGAGCUAUUAAAGUUUUAUGUUUUUCUGGUGAUUUUUAUAAGACCUGUAAAACUAAUAAACCCCUCAAAGAUCUGUUGCUCUCUGGCAGUUAGAUAUUUUAUAGGUUUUUCCAUUAAGGUGGAACAAUGACUCAUCUAAAUCAUUGCAGCUCGUUUCUUUCUCUGGUGGUUCCAGAUGUGCUACUUGUCCCUGCAGCUAAUCUUGCUAUUACUUUCAAAAGGGCAAUGUGGUAGAAGUACAUGAACCUGUGUCUAAAAGUGGUUGGUUUUUCUGGAUGUCUGUGUUACUGAUCCUCUCUGUAUCUUGGCCUGGGCACUGUGAAACCCACAGACCCAAAUCAAAAGAUGGUUCCUUCCUUGCAGCACAUGACUGCACAGGCACCACUGUGUAUGUACCCUGCAGAUCUUGAGCAGCUCAGUCACAUGGUAAUACUAUUGGCUUCAAAGCGGUUCUCAUGUGAAUGGAGGCAGUAAGAUAGGCCCAUGUGAACUGUAGAUCAAACCAUCCAAACAGAAAUAGAAGGUAAUUAAACCAUUCAAGCACAACUAAAACUUAAAAGUACCAUGCUGUGAAUUAGCAGCUUAAUACUAUAAACCUCUAUGACUUUGCAGUGAUGUUUUAGAAACUCUAGUUUUCUGUGUACAUUUGAAAUAACAUAAGAAGCCGAAAUUGCCUGUAUACUUAUCUGGGGAGACUGCUGCCCUCUACAACUAAUUGAAAAAUUCCUCUCACAAGAUGUUUUGGCAAUAUUUGGGAUGCAUGUCAUAGCAAUUAAAUAUUAUAUACUCCAGUUGACCAAGGCCAGAUCCUGCACUGACUGCCUUGUCCCCUGCUGUGGGGCUAACUAUGGAUAGGCAAAUAGCAUUCCAAGUGAGUAAGAAAAAGAUAUUAUUGAAAGGUAUAAUGGUAAGCAACUUAUUCUUUCAGUACAGUUGUAUACUCAAGGAACCCUAUUAAAUGCUACUUAUUUAAGGUCACAUUUAUUAAUGAGUAAAUGUCCACUGUUUUCAACCAAGGUAACUUAGCUUCCACUGUAAAUAAAUGGAAUUAGUAGAAAGCUUUCAUAUUACAACAGUGGGAAGUGAUUAUACAAUAUUGAACAUGUGAACUAUAAUGUAUAUAUGAGAAAAAUUUCAAGUAAUGAUGUCAUUGCCAAGCAAAAAAUAACUAUUAAUGUACAAAGGCAUAUUUAAGUCUUUUCAGAUAUGUAAAUUACCUAUUU
ensembl:lncRNA